rnacentral:ncRNA from 1 species
GCUUCUUAGAGGGACUAUCGCCGUUUAGGCGACGGAAGUUUGAGGCAAUAACAGGUCUGUGAUGCCCUUAGAUGUUCUGGGCCGCACGCCCGCUACACUGAUGUAUUCAACGAGUAUAUAGCCUUGGCCGACAGGCCCGGGUAAUCUUGGGAAAUUUCAUCGUGAUGGGGAUAGAUCAUUGCAAUUGUUGGUCUUCAACGAGGAAUGCCUAGUAAGCGCGAGUCA